AAUAAUCAUAAAAAAGUGGAAUUUUAAAUUGUGCAAAAUACUUGGACAGUGAAGACAGAAAACUUUGUAAUAUAUGAAUACAAUAAUGUUUAAAAAGGAGGUUAAAGAAAAACUUGAAAAAUUGGAUAGUACCAAGCUGCCACUGGGUCAUGAAAUUAAGGAAUCGUAUACUGGAAAAUUUACAUCAUGUCGAUGGAUGAUUGGCUAUAUGUGCUGUGCGGCACGAUUCAGUCAAUCAGCUAUUCGACAACUCAUCGGUAUGGCCACCGUGUGUAUGACUUUGCAGAGGGUCGUUGAAUAUCAGGUGACCCCUAAAGACAUGGAAGAAUUCCAUCCAAAUGCUAGCCUGAAUGCAACAAAAUUAGUUAAGAAAGAGGAAGAAGAUAUUACAUGGUCUUCAGAAUUUGAGGGAACUGUUUUAGCAGCGUUUAAUUUUGGUUUUACUGCCUCUCCUAUAAUCGGGGGAUAUAUUGCCGAAUAUUUUGGCGGGAAAAUGGUCAUCACAUUUUCCUUGAUUGUCGGGUCUUUGGCAACCGUAUUAACCCCGGUAGCAGCACGUGCUGAUAAGGCGUUAUUGGUGUUCAUGAGGGUUGUAGCUGGUUUAGUCAUGGGUGCCAUAGAUCCAGCUACCCAAUCUCUGUGGUCCAAGUGGGCACCCAUGUAUG